CGCCCGGCCAGAGCCCCCGGGGCUCCGAGCCACGUCCCUCCCCCCCCCCCCCCGGAUCCACGCGCAGGGCGGGGCAGCCCUUCGGACGGACGGACGGAUCCAGGGACCGGCCCAGGCAGGGAUGGCCUUAGCAGACACCCUGAAAGGGCUGCUAGCCUCGUUGGAACACCACUCUGCCUGCAGAAGUCCCAGCUCCAGGGGUGCCAGGCAUAGACUGCAGAACUCAACACCGAUGAAUCUACUCAUGGAUCAUUCCAAAUGGAGCUGGACAGUCAGUACAGAGGCCAAGACUCCUCUGUGUGGGAUACAGCCCUCGGAUCAUCAGUCAAUAAGGAGGGCCUCACAGACCAUCAAGACUUUGGGGGAGCCAGGACACGCCAGAACCAGUCAGUGGAUACACAAGUUGAGCGCCCUAGGAAAUGCUGCAUUCAGGAUCAAGUCUCUCCAGUUUAUUCAAGCAGCAGGAUGAUCUCUUCACACAUCUGGAACAUGACAUUUUAUUUCUUUGCUACUCUGCAACCAGCGACUCAAGUUGGCAUUUAUUCCCUGCGUAUAUACUUGCAACUCUCCGAUAUAAGUGAAAGGAGAACAGACCAGGAUUUUUCAGGAAGCUAGGCUAGCAGGUGAAAGCUUAUUCUGUAUUUGUACUACAGUGAUGAACUAUACUGUUAUAAGAGAAAACCUUAUACACAAAGUUAAAAAGCAAAACACUUCUGUUGACAGAUUAUAACUUUCAUACACAACAUUGUGAGUUUCGUUUGCUUUAAGUUUAUUGCAUGAAAUGUAACAGGCUCACCUUUUCAUAAUGUGUCUCCAUACACAAAAAGAUAGUGUAGGCAGUCAGACAGGCCAGACAUCCUUCAAGAUAAGAUUGGCCCCCAAGCUUCUCAGCUUCUGCAUAAAGGUUAUUUAGAGUUUGAACUGUCUCUUCAAACUGCUGCCUAUCAAUCUGAAAAAGAGACUGAAUUUAACAAGAUUGACCAGCAAAUUUCUCAUUCAGAACUCACUGAUCCCCAAUACAGAGAUCUAGCUUCUGUGCUAGAACAGUCCAUUAACCAGCAAUGUCACCUCCAGACAGUUUCAAACACAACAUGGAGAGCAAAGGUUUUGUUUAGGUACUGAAUGACUUCCAUAAAUUGUAGCAUUUGGUUAAAUAGCAACUAAGUGAUCUAAAGUUAUUAGAUCAAAUGUGUAUUUCCACAUUAUUUAUUUAUUUAGUGUGUGCAUAGUCAUCUAGCCAAGCGAUGGCAUCUUCAGUGGUGUGAUGCAGGUCUUCUAGGCCACUGUUGAACCUAGUCAGCAGGCAUUCUUUGACAAUGUGCUUCAUCGUCCGUGUCUCAUUUA